CAGUAGCCACGGUAAUACAGAGGAUGCAAGCGUUAUCCGGAAUGAUUGGGCUUAAAGCGUCUGUAGGUGGCUUUUCAAGUCCGCCGUCAAAUCCCAGGGCUCAACCCUGGACAGGCGGUGGAAACUACCAAGCUGGAGUACGGUAGGGGCAGAGGGAAUUUCUGGUGGAGCGGUGAAAUGCGUUGAGAUCGGAAAGAACACCAACGGUGAAAGCACUCUGCUGGGCCGACACUGACACUCAUAGACGAAAGCUAGGGGAGCAAAUGGGAUUAGAUACCCCGGUAGUCCCUGUCUCUUAUAA
rnacentral:rRNA from 1 species